rnacentral:rRNA from 1 species
UACGAAGGGGGCUAGCGUUGCUCGGAAUGACUGGGCGUAAAGGGUGCGUAGGCGGCGGACACAGUCAGAUGUGAAAUUCCCGGGCUCACUGGGGGCUGCAUUUGAUACGUGUUUGCUUGAGUGGGGAAGAGGGUCGUGGAAUUCCCAGUGUAGAGGUGAAAUUCGUAGAUAUUGGGAAGAACACCGGUGGCGAAGGCGGCGACCUGGUCCUUGACUGACGCUGAGGCGCGAAAGCGUGGGGAGCAAACAGG